CCCUUAGACGUUCUGGGCCGCACGCGCGCUACACUGACACAGGCAACGAGCUUUCCUUUACCGAAAGGUAUGGGUAAUCUUUUGAAACUGUGUCGUGCUGGGGAUAGAUCCUUGCAAUUUUUGAUCUUAAACGAGGAAUUCCUAGUAAGCGCGAGUCAUCAACUCGCGUUGAUUACGUCCCUGCCCUUUGUACACACCGCCCGUCGCUACUACCGAUUGAAUGGCUUAGUGAGGCCUUCGGAUCCGCGACUCGUUUGUGGAGAAGUUGGACAAACUCAGUCAUUUAGAGGAAGUAAAAGUCGUAACA
rnacentral:rRNA from 1 species